UCCCUGAUGCUCUAGUGGUCAGGAUUCGGCGCUCUCAUCGCUGUGGCCCGGGUUCGAUUCCCGGUCAGGGAA
rnacentral:tRNA from 1 species